UUACCCUGUAGAUAUGUGUCGUGUGAUCAUGGGUGCACAUAUUAAAGGAUUUUGAUUAAUGCAUAAAGAACUUGGACAUUUGCCGCUGCUUAUGCUGUAAGGUUUGCCCACAUAAGGAGAUGAAGAAUAUUCCAACGACUGGAUAUUCGUUGUUUCUAUUUUCCAUCUUCAUCGCAAUCCAAAUGUAUUCGAAAAUCGAAAUGUUUUCGAUCCUAACAGAUUUUUACCCGAAAAUUUUUCCAAACGCUCACCUUACUCCUACAUCCCAUUUUCGGCAAGACCCAGGAUGUGUCUGGGGUAUUACUUGACUAUGAUGAAAAUUAAACUGAUUUUGGCAAGUAUUUUAAGAAUGUUGAAGGUAGGAUACGUGGAAAAAACGAUUCCAAUGAAGUUCAGAAUUAGUCUUAAUCCUAGUCGAUCACUCCAACUCCAAUUUAAAUCAAGAA